GAUCUCUUGGUUCUGGCAUCGAUGAAGAACGCAGCGAAAUGCGAUAAGUAGUGUGAAUUGCAGAAUUCAGUGAAUCAUCGAAUCUUUGAACGCACAUUGCGCCCCUUGGUAUUCCAUGGGGCAUGCCUGUUCGAGCGUCAUUUGUACCCUCAAGCUUU
rnacentral:rRNA from 1 species